GACCCGUCUUGAAACACGGACCAAGGAGUCUAACACGCGCGCGAGUCGUAGGGUUUUUACGAAACCUGCGGGCGAAACGAAAGUGAAGGCCGUUCUCGAGGACGGCUCGGGCGGGAUCCGCGGAGAAGUGAUUCGCCGCGGCGCACCGCCGGCCCGUCUCGGCCGCAACGUCGGCGAGGCGGAGCAGUAGCGCGCGCGUUGGGACCCGAAAGAUGGUGAACUAUGCCUGAGCAGGACGAAGCCAGAGGAAACUCUGGUGGAGGUCCGCAGCGAUUCUGACGUGCAAAUCGAUCGUCGAACUUGGGUAUAGGGGCGAAAGACUAAUCGAACCAUCUAGUAGCUGGUUCCUGUCGAAGUUUCCCUCAGGAUAGCUGGCGCUCGUCGCAGUUUUAUCCGGUAAAGCGAAUGAUUAGAGGCCUUGGGGACGAAACGACCUCAACCUAUUCUCAAACUUUAAAUGGGUAAGAAGUCCGACUCGCUCGAUCGGAGCCGGGCCAAUGCGAAUGCGAGUGCCAAGUGGGCCACUUUUGGUAAGCAGAACUGGCGCUGCGGGAUGAACCGAACGCCCGGUUAAGGCGCCAAACACUGACGCUCAUGAGAUACCAUAAAAGGUGUUGGUUGAUAUAGACAGCAGGACGGUGGCCAUGGAAGUCGGAAUCCGCUAAGGAGUGUGU
rnacentral:rRNA from 1 species